UACAGAGGUCUCGAGCGUUAGGCGGAAUCACUGGGCUUAAAGCGUGUGUAGGUGGAUCGUUAAGUACCUUGUGAAAUCCCACGGCUUAACCGUGGAACUGCUUGGUAUACUGGCGGUCUUGAGCCAGCUAGGGGCUACCGGAACAAAUGGUGGAGCGGCGAAAUGCGUAGAUAUCAUUUGGAACGCCAAUGGUGAAAACAGGUAGCUGGGGCUGUGCUGACACUGAGACACGAAAGCCAGGGGAGCAAACGGG
rnacentral:rRNA from 1 species